rnacentral:rRNA from 1 species
CCUACGGGAGGCUGCAGUGAGGAAUAUUGGUCAAUGGACGAGAGUCUGAACCAGCCAAGUAGCGUGAAGGAUGACUGCCCUAUGGGUUGUAAACUUCUUUUAUAUGGGAAUAAAAUGUUCCACGUGUGGGAUUUUGUAUGUACCAUAUGAAUAAGGAUCGGCUAACUCCGUGCCAGCAGCCGCGGUAAUACGGAGGAGCCGAGCGUUAUCCGGAUUUAUUGGGUUUAAAGGGAGCGUAGGUGGAUUGUUAAGUCAGUUGUGAAAGUUUGCGGCUCAACCGUAAAAUUGCAGUUGAAACUGGCAGUCUUGAGUACAGUAGAGGUGUGCGGAAUUCGUGGUGUAGCGGUGAAAUGCUUAGAUAUCACGAAGAACUCCGAUUGCGAAGGCAGUUCACUGGACUGCAACUGACACUGAGGCUCGAAAGUGUGGGUAUCAAACAGGAUUAGAUACCCCUGUAGUC